UGAGUAACACGUAGGCAACCUGCCCCUUAGACUGGGAUAACUACCGGAAACGGUAGCUAAUACCGGAUAAUUUCUUUUUUCUCCUGAAGAGAGAAUGAAAGACGGAGCAAUCUGUCACUGAGGGAUGGGCCUGCGGCGCAUUAGCUAGUUGGUGAGGUAACGGCUCACCAAGGCGACGAUGCGUAGCCGACCUGAGAGGGUGAACGGCCACACUGGGACUGAGACACGGCCCAGACUCCUACGGGAGGCAGCAGUAGGGAAUCUUCCGCAAUGGGCGAAAGCCUGACGGAGCAAUGCCGCGUGAGUGAUGAAGGUUUUCGGAUCGUAAAGCUCUGUUGCCAGGGAAGAACGUCCGGUAGAGUAACUGCUACCGGAGUGACGGUACCUGAGAAGAAAGCCCCGGCUAACUACGUGCCAGCAGCCGCGGUAAUACGUAGGGGGCAAAGCGUUGUCCGGAAUUAUUGGGCGUAAGCGCGCGCAGGCGGCUAUUUAAGUCUGGUGUUUAAACCUUGGGCUCAACCUAAGGUCGCACUGGAAACUGGGUGGCUUGAGUACAGAAGAGAAGUAGAAUUCCCCGGUAGCGUGAAAUGCGUAGAUAUGGGAGGAACCCCAGGGCGAAGGCGACUUUCUGGGCUGUAACUGACGCUGAGGCGGGAAAGCGUGGGGAGCAAACAGGAUUAGAUNCCCUGGUAGUCCNCGCCGUAAACGAUGAGUGCUAGGUGUUAGGGGUUUCGAUACCCUUGGUGCCGAAGUUAACACAGUAAGCACUCCGCCUGGGGAGUACGGUCGCAAGACUGAAACUCAAAGGAAUUGACGGGGACCCGCACAAGCAGUGGAGUAUGUGGUUUAAUUCGAAGCAACGCGAAGAACCUUACCAGGUCUUGACAUCCCUCUGAAUCUGUUAGAGAUAGCAGCGGCCUUCGGGACAGAGGAGACAGGUGGUGCAUGGUUGUCGUCAGCUCGUGUCGUGAGAUGUUGGGUUAAGUCCCGCAACGAGCGCAACCCUUAACUUUAGUUGCCAGCAAGUAAUGUUGGGCACUCUAGAGUGACUGCCGGUGACAAACCGGAGGAAGGUGGGGAUGACGUCAAAUCAUCAUGCCCCUUAUGACCUGGGCUACACACGUACUACAAUGGCCGGUACAACGGGAAGCGAAACCGCGAGGUGGAGCCAAUCCUAUCAAAGCCGGUCUCAGUUCGGAUUGCAGGCUGCAACUCGCCUGCAUGAAGUCGGAAUUGCUAGUAAUCGCGGAUCAGCAUGCCGCGGUGAAUAC
rnacentral:rRNA from 1 species